AAAAAUGAAAUCAUUAUGAUGUUUCAUUUACAAUGAAAAUUAUGUUUUUUAACCGUUUUUU
rnacentral:tRNA from 1 species